rnacentral:rRNA from 1 species
UACGUAGGGGCGAGCGUUGUCCGGAAUCAUUGGGCGUAAAGCGCGUGUAGGCGGCCUGGAAAGUCUGGUGUGAAAUCUUGGGGCUCAACCCCAAGCGGUCAUUGGAUACUGUCAGGCUUGAGUGCGGAAGAGGCGAGUGGAAUUCCUGGUGUAGCGGUGGAAUGCGCAGAUAUCAGGAGGAACACCAAUAGCGAAGGCAGCUCGCUGGGACGGUACUGACGCUAAGGCGCGAAAGCGUGGGAGCGAACGAGGA